UGCAAUAUCGUUUGUUCCUGAAUACAAGCAAGCAGCUUUCGCUUCAUCCGAUCCCGCAUCUCUUUGGGCGGUGUUUUAUGUUGUGUAUUCAAGUUGUUGACUCGUUGCCCCGACUCAAAGAUUGUUUGUUUUCCGAAUGACUCCGGACUCCAAUUUGUAGAACCAGACCCUGUGGAAGUUCUUCUACACAAGAAGAGAAUACUCGUUACUAGUGUUUCACUUCAACAAAGGCGAGAGAGUCUUUCACUGGAAAAGCCGUUGAAAACAAGAGGGGAAGUUCACUUCGAUUAAGACAAGAAAAGCCUUUCAUUGGGGAAGCUGUUGGAAAGCAAGAGGGGAAGUUUACUUUGAUUACGACAAGAAAAGACCCCAGGGAGAUCUAUCUGUCCAGAUGCCUUGAGAUCAUCGUUGCUCAUCAUAAUAAGGUAGCAAUAAUGACUCUACAGCCGUUUACAAAAGAACAGUUAAACUACUUCAAAUUUGCUUUUGUCGUGCUCAAUGAAUUUCCAAAGGCAUUACGUCAAACCUUCAAAAACAAAUGGGACAAUAUCUUUGGACAUCUUCCUGGU